rnacentral:rRNA from 1 species
CAUGCAAGUCGAACGAUGAUGCCCACUUGGUGGGUGGAUUAGUGGCGAACGGGUGAGUAACACGUGAGUAACCUGCCCUUGACUCUGGGAUAAGCCUGGGAAACUGGGUCUAAUACCGGAUAUGACUGACUAUCGCAUGGUGGUUGGUGGAAAGCUUUUGUGGUUUUGGAUGGACUCGCGGCCUAUCAGCUUGUUGGUGGGGUAAUGGCCUACCAAGGCGACGACGGGUAGCCGGCCUGAGAGGGUGACCGGCCACACUGGGACUGAGACACGGCCCAGACUCCUACGGGAGGCAGCAGUGGGGAAUAUUGCACAAUGGGCGCAAGCCUGAUGCAGCGACGCCGCGUGAGGGAUGACGGCCUUCGGGUUGUAAACCUCUUUCAGUAGGGAAGAAGCGUAAGUGACGGUACCUGCAGAAGAAGCGCCGGCUAACUACGUGCCAGCAGCCGCGGUAAUACGUAGGGCGCAAGCGUUAUCCGGAAUUAUUGGGCGUAAAGAGCUCGUAGGCGGUUUGUCGCGUCUGCCGUGAAAGUCCGGGGCUCAACUCCGGAUCUGCGGUGGGUACGGGCAGACUAGAGUGAUGUAGGGGAGACUGGAAUUCCUGGUGUAGCGGUGAAAUGCGCAGAUAUCANGAGGAACACCGAUGGCGAAGGCAGGUCUCUGGGCAUUAACUGACGCUGAGGAGCGAAAGCAUGGGGAGCGAACAGGAUUAGAUACCCUGGUAGU